AAAAAUUAAAUUGUAAAUAUUAAAGUAGUAAUAGUUAUGUUCUUGAAAUUUAAAAAAUUUGGCGGUAUUUUAGUCUAUUCAGAGGAACCUGUUUAGUAAUCGAUAAUCCACGUUGGACCUUACUUAAAUUAGUAAAUUAGUUUAUAUAUCGUUGUUUAAAGAAUAUUUUGUAAAAAAAAUAAUUUUCAAUAUUUUUUAUUAAAAUUUAUAUCAGAUCAAGAUGUAGCUUAUGUUUAAGUUUAAAAUGGGUUACAAUUUAAAUAUAAUUGAAUAUAGAUUUGCAAUAUUCUAUUGAAAUUGGAUUUGAUAGUAAAUUUAUAAAGAUAGAUAAUUUGAUUUUAGCUCUAAAAUAUGC
rnacentral:rRNA from 1 species